rnacentral:rRNA from 1 species
GAUGAACGCUGGCGGCGUGCCUAAUACAUGCAAGUCGAGCGAACAGAUGAGGAGCUUGCUCCUCUGACGUUAGCGGCGGACGGGUGAGUAACACGUGGAUAACCUACCUAUAAGACUGGGAUAACUUCGGGAAACCGGAGCUAAUACCGGAUAAUAUAUUGAACCGCAUGGUUCAAUAGUGAAAGACGGUUUUGCUGUCACUUAUAGAUGGAUCCGCGCCGCAUUAGCUAGUUGGUAAGGUAACGGCUUACCAAGGCAACGAUGCGUAGCCGACCUGAGAGGGUGAUCGGCCACACUGGAGCUGAGACACGGUCCAGACUCCUACGGGAGGCAGCAGUAGGGAAUCUUGCGCAAUGGGCGAAAGCCUGACGGAGCAACGCCGCGUGAGUGAUGAAGGUCUUCGGAUCGUAAAACUCUGUUAUUAGGGAAGAACAAAUGUGUAAGUAACUAUGCACGUCUUGACGGUACCUAAUCAGAAAGCCACGGCUAACUACGUG